rnacentral:misc_RNA from 1 species
GUGAAUCAUCAAAUUUUUGAACGCAAAUUGCACUCUCUGGUAUUACGGAGAGUAUGUCUGUUUGAGGGUCAGUAUAAAUAAAAAUUGAGGUGUUGCCUAUGGUGACGGCCUCGGAAUUGGGUAAUCUAUAUUCUUUAUAUAGGUUUAAAGUGACAUAAACUUGAUGAUACCUUGUGCAUCUCUAGACGUACAUAAGAUUCUUUUUUUAUCUGUCGGGUUUU